UUCCAGUGACUCGAUUAAAAAUGUAUUUCCAAUAUUUUGCUAGACCCCUACUUAGAUGGGGGUAGACUUAAGUAUUUUUCAAGGUUCCUGUCCUCAGAAACUUUAGUUCGAAAUGGAAACCAGAUGCAGUUCUUUACACAAAAAAGGCUAUUGGUAUGAGGAAGUUAAGUGAUAUAUUUUUUAAAAAGUAGUCCAGGGGCGCCUGGGUGGCUCAGUCGGUUAAGCGUCCGACCUCGGCUCAGGUCAUGAUCUAACGGUUUGUGGGUUCGAGGCCCGUGUUGGGCUCUGUGCCGGCAGCUUUGUGCCUGGAGCCUGCUUCGGAUUCUGUCUCCCUUGCUCUCUGCCCCUCCCCCACUCACGCUCUGGCUCUCUCUCAAAGAUAAAUAAACAUUAAAAAAUAAUAAUAAUAAAAAAAAAGUGAGAGUGGUAUCACUUUGACUCCAGAGAGUCAGGGAAGGCUUCUUGUGAGACCAGCCCAGCCUAGAAGGAAGCACAGGCCACUGUGGUUCCAGCAAGGGGGUCCUGUGGACUUGGGGAGCAGGUUGGAAAGACAAGCAAGAGCUGAAUGAAACAGUGCUUAAAUUUAGGCCAACGAGUAGAGACAUCAAACCGUUGACGAUUUAUUCUACCGAAGCUGGAUUUUCCAAGACCGGCCUGAAUAUCAUGACAUUUUGCCCUUUUCAAUUAAGGUGUUUGUGAAGUGUGAUUUACUAUUUAAAGUUUUACAACACUUACAUAAAUACGUUUACGUAACUAUUUUUUUUCUUAAAUGACAUCCUGAUUUGAUAUUUGGAAACUAAAGUAAUGUAUUCAGUCUUAACAAUAUUUGCUGUAUAUCUUGUCCCAAGUACAGGACUGAACAUUUAUGUAAUGUUUCAACAACUAUUUAUUAGGGGUACUCGGGGUACAACAUAGAACCUGAGAAGGAUGUCUGUCCUCAUGGAGCUUUUAUUCUAGUGGUAUAUUAGCUUGCUAGGACUGCCACGGACUGUUUUAAACAACAGAAAUUUGUUUUCUCACAGAUAUAGACACUAGAAAUCUACGAGCAAGGGGUCAGCCAAACUGGUUCCUUGUUAGGGCCGCGAGGAAAGGAUCUGUUCCAGGCCUCUCUCCUUGGCCUGUGGGUGGCCGUCUCUCCCUGUGUCUCCACAUCGUCUUCCUUCUAUGCUAGUCUGUAUCCAAAUUUCCUCUUCUUCCUUUUUUAAAAAUUUUAUUUAUUAUUUUGAGAGAGAGAGCAUGUGCGUGCAAGUGGGGGAUGGGCAGAGAGAGAGAGGGAGAGAGAGAAUCUCAAGCAGGCCCUGUACUGUCCGUGUGGAACCUGACGUGGGGCUUGAACUCAUCAACCAUGAGAUCAUGAUCUGAGCCGAAGUCGACACUUAACUGACUGAGCCACCCAGGUGCCCCCAAAUUUCCACUUCUUAUAGUGACACCAGUCAUAUUGGAUUAGGGCCCACCUUCAUUUUAACUCAUUUGGUAAAGACCCUGUCCGCAAAUAUGGUCACAUUCUGAGGUACUGGGGGUUAGGACUUCAACAUAAUGCAUUGUGUAAAGGACACAAUUCAGCCCAUAACGAGUGGGUGUUGAUGACAGAGCCGCGAAUGAAGUCUAGGACUUGGGUGGUCCUGGUUGCUGUGUACCAGGCACUGCACCACAGCUGCUCAUGUGCAACGCUGCAUUUAGCGCUGUAACCAGCCCAUGAGGUGAGUAUCGUUAUCCAAACUUUACAGACCACAUUAGUUCAUAGGGGGGUUUGCUUUAGUGGCACUGUGUUUAAUGUUGUCAUUGGUCAAAGCCUUGGAAACGAAAAUUGAGCCACGGCUGCAUGUGUAGGGUGUAUGUUGGUGGCUAAUUCAGACUCAGAAGCAAUUUCUGAAUGCUAAUGUAGAGAGGGAAGGUUUGGUGUUUUGUUUUUUUUUUUUUUUUUUUUUAAUACAUUAGGUUCUAAAGAAAAAAAAACCAAAGAUAAAAGUAAUAUUUGAUAAUUACCUUUUUCUCUCUAUAAAUAAUCCAAUACAUUAUUUUGUAAUUAACACUAUUAUAUAUAAUAACACUUUAUUAUAAAUAACCAUAAUUCUUUAUAAUAAAUAUACAACUAUCUAUUAAAUAAAUCCUACAUUUUUUAUAGCAAUGAUCACUUCCUUUGGAUUAGUUAGAUUCAAAUAAAGUUCCAGAUUGCUUCUGACUUGUAUCUUUUGAUUCUUCUCCAGACUAGGAAGUGCCUUGGCACUUUUCCUAUGGAAGGAAUCCUUCUCACAUUACCUGUUUUGCCUGUUUCAAUCAUUAUGCUCGUCUGGUGGACAGAUUCAGAUUCAGCACAUUAUUAUGGAAGACCUACACUCAUGUGGCAGGCCAUUUCACAAAAAUCCAUACCUUUCAUAAAUAUGGAAAACCAAAGGAUAUUAUGAUGCUUUUUUAUUGAGCAUCAAUUUUAUUCAAUUAUUUUAUGGAAAAAAAGUACCUAACUUUUUUUUUUUUUUUUUUUGCUUAAGGUAACCAGGGAACAAUUGAAAACAUAAUUUAAAUAUUGAAACAAUAUAAGUAUAUAUUAUAGUAUAGUAUAAAAUGCAAAAUGUACAUGAACUUUCAAGAUAAAACCUAUUUUAAAGAAGUAGCUUUUGUUUUGAAUGGUGCCUUUAGUUCAACAGAGAUGUGAAACUGCCCUUCUCUUUCCAACGCCCCGGUUGGGGCAGCGUCUCAGGAGGAAACAUUUGAAAAGUUCGAACAUUUUCUUCAUUCAGUCUUCCUAACAACCAUGUGAAGUAUAUUAUCCUCAUUAAGAGAUCAGAAAACAGAAGUUUGGAUAAAUUAUCUUGCCCUAGUUAACACAGCAAGUAAAUAGCAGAGGCAGGUGUUAAAUUCAGACUUUUCUGACUCUAAUUCUGGGGCAUUUUAUAUUGCACUACACCCACUCCUUGGAUGAAUAGGCUUCAGUCCUCCAGAGACUGCAUUGGCCUCACAGUUGUGCAUUUACACAUGUUCCAACCUCACUGACUCAUGGAUUCACACACUUAUUUGUGCACUUAAUCAGUAAAUAUUUAUUGAGAGCUUGCUAUGUGCCAAGCUUUACACUGGGUCCUGAGGACACAAUGGUUAGCAAUAAAGGCAUAACAUAUAAUCCUUUCCCUCCUGGAGCCUACAGUUUAGUGGAAGAACAAAUGUUAAACAAAUACCAAAAAACACUUAUUUACAAACUUGAUCAGUAUUAUAAAGCAAAAACAUAGGGUGCCAUGAGAGGGAAAAAAAAACAACAGGUGAGUUCAUUUAGAUUAGUGAUCAGAGAAGACCUCUUUAAAGAAGUGACCUUUGAUCUGAGGUUUUGAGCAUGAGUUAGCUAGAAGAAAACUUACUUGCACUUAAAGUAGUUACAAAUUGCCAUCCCACAAAAUCCAUCACUACAAUUCCCUCUAUUGUCACUAGAUUCCUUCUUUUGUCCACAGCAAGGUCAAAUUCUUACCCUCAGCCACCACAUUUAUUUUCUAUUAUAUCCAUCCAUCCAUUCAUCCAUCCAUCCAUUCAUUUAGCAUCAGCUAUGAGCCUGGCACUAUCAUGCGCUGAAUCCUUUUCUUUUUCAUCUUCACUCUCUUCUCCUUUUUCUCCUUUGAUUGCUCUAACCUCCUUCCUCUUUAUCUGAUUCUUGAAUCUAUUUCUGACUCACAUAUUUAAUGUUAUGCCUUUCCUUGUCCAAUCACUUCCCUUCCCUUGGGCUAAACUAUCAUUUCUCAUCCUGUUUUCAAUGAAUGGAUUCUUUCCUCACAUUUUUCUGAAUAUUUUGUAAGCAGGUGCUGAAAAUUAAUGAAGUUUUGUUUUGUUUGUUGUUUUGUCAACUACUUGGUGUUUCCAUCCCUUAACACAGAAUAUCAUUAAUAUAAAAAAACUUUUCCGGAAUCGUUCUCUCUCUCUCUCUCUUUCUCUUUCUGCCUAUGUACCUAUAUCUAUCACCUGUCUAUAUUUUGGAUCAUUUCUUUCUUUUAAUGACAAUUUUCUGGAGAUGGAUGGGUCUAUCUGUGUAACUUAAUAUUGCAUCUGGAGCUAAUGGUAAUCAUUUCUUAAGCUUUUCAUAUACUUUUAAAAGAGUCAGAGCACAUCCUUUAUGGGCCUGCUAGUAUGUUUGAUGUACCUCUGAUAUAAAUGCACAAAUGAAUUCAGAAAUUCACAGUCCAAGAUUAGGCUGCUUUCAGCUUCUCCUAUAAAGUCAUCUCUGUCCUUUCUGUCAUAACCUGGACAUAAAAAACCCAGGUCAGCAAUAAUAUAGUGUGUCAUCAACUAUUUAGGCAAACAUACACUUACCUCUCUAUCUCCACACAACUCAGAAAACCUCCUUUGGAAAACCUGAAGACCCAGACUGCACUAUCUAGAAAGUUCUACCUAUCAAAAGAUAAGUAGAGGAGUUUUCUCUUUCUAGGCAUGAUGGGGCACAAGGACCAAACUUAAAUGCCUACCAUAAAUAAUUAGAAAGCCGAAUAAAAUAUGAAACAAUGAAUUUCAGACAUCGGACAAUAGUCUGCAUAGGGCAAUGAUUACUGAAUGAAGAGAUACAAACAAGUGAGCUCAGUAAUUCCCCUGGCUUUCUGCCUGGAAGCAAUUUCUAGACUGUGGACUCAGGAAGGGGGGAUCCAAAUAGAUUUUGGCAGCCUUGCUGAGUUGAUAAGAUGGAGGUCAGGGUUUGAGGAGGCUGAGAUGGUUAGAGGUAGUGAGACAGAAUUCUGGGAAGAGGGAGCUAUGCAGAAAAACUGCUCCAGAAAUAUGUAUAGGAAUCUCUUGAGUCUUUGCUGAGUACCAGGACAUAAGUGUAUAGCAUGACACUCCACAAGGCUGGAAAGAAAAGACUGGUGAGUUGUAAGAUGAAUAAAUCUCAGGGCACACAUGGACUGGGAGAAAGUUUGGUUGGCCAAAGGGAAGAGUCCUUGCUCAUCCUUGGAACAUUCAGUGGAGAUCCUAAAGUAAUCAUAUGUUAGUAAUAGGUCUGAACUCUCCUUUGAGUGAGAUACUCUGGACCAGGGGUUGAAAGCUUUUCUUAAUUUACAGAUAGCGAUUCUUUUUGGCUUGUAGGUCAUAUGGUCUUCAUCACAGAUGCUCAGUUCUGCCAUUGUAGUGUGAAAGCAGCCAUAGACAAUAUUAACUGAAUGGAUGUGGCUGUGUUCCAAUAAAACUUUAUUAAGAAAAAACAAGUGGCCAGCCUGUGAGCUGUAGUUUGCUGACCUCUGCUCUAGAUCAGCACAGUCCAAUAGAAAUAUAAUGCAAGCCACAUAUGUAAUUUAAAAUGCCUAGUAACCACAGUAAAAAGGAAAAAGAAGUAGGUAAAAUUAAUAUAUUUUACUUAAUCCUAUAUAUCCAAACUAUUAUCAGUGCAACAUGUGAUCAAUAUAAUACUUAUUAAUGAGGAAGUUUGCAUUCUUUUCCUGACACUCAGUCUUCAAAAUCUAUUGUAUAUUUUAUACCUAUAGCACAUCUUAAUUUAUAUUAGUCAUAUUUUAAUAGCCACAUAUAGUUAGUGACUACCAUAUUGGAUAGCACAGCUCUUGCCUCUCUCUAGUAAAGCUUAAAGACAGGUCUUGAAGGGGAAUCAAACCGAUGGAACAAUUAAUUUCACUGCCUGCCAAAAACAAAGCCCAAUGCUCUUUAAAGAAAGACAACACAAGACAGACACUAAUAAUGUAACAAUAUCAAUGUUGGCAUCAAAUAAAAAAAAUUACUGGCCAUGAUUAAAAGCAAGAAAAAAAUACAACAAGGAGAAGAAUCAGUUAAGAGAAACAGUGAAAUGACAAAAUAAUGGAAUUAGCAGACAUGAUGUUAAGAUAGAUUUUAUCAUUAUGUGUAAACAUUUAAAGGAAAACAUAAAAAUAAUCAGAAGAAAAAUGAAAGAAAAAGAACCACCUGCAAUAUAUGAACUGAAGAUUUCAUUGGAUAAGAUUAACAUCAGAUUAGGCACUGCAGAAGAAAGGAUUAGUGAACCUGUAAACAUGGCAAUUAAAUUGAUCCAAGAUGAUCCACAGAGAGAAAAAAGGUUGAAAAAAAAUAGAUGAAAAGAGGCUCGGUGAUCAGUGAGAUAAUAUCAAAUGAUCUACCAUAAAGAGGAAAGGAAAGAAGAAGGGGCAGAAAAACAUUUGAAGAAAUAAUGGCUGAAACACUUCAAAAUUCAGUGAAUACUGUAUUUCAUAAAUCUGAGAAGCUUAAAAACUCAUGAAAAAAAAAUCAAGGCACAUAAUAAUCAAACUACUCAAAACCAGAGUUGAACAGAGAAUCUUUAGGCAGUCAGAGAAAAACACACAUUAAGUACAGAGAAAUAAACAUUAAAAUGACUACAGGCUCCACCUCAGAAAUUUAGGAAGCCAGAAGACAAAGAAAUAACACCUUCAGAGUGCUCAAAGAGAAAAGUCAACUUGGAAUUCAAUAUCCAGUGGAAAUAGCCUUCAAAAACAAAGAUGAAAUAAAAACAUUAUCAGACAAAGAAAACUGGAAGAAGUUUGUUGCCAUAGUAUAUACAUACUAAAAGAAAUGUUAAAUGAAAUUAUUCAGGCAAAAGCAAAAUGACAGCAGAUAUAAAUCUGAAAUACCAGAAAUGGUAAAUAUGUGGACAAAUGGAAAAGAUUUGUUUCCUUAUUUUAAAAUUUCUUUAAAAGUUAAUUGACUGUAUAAAGCAAAAAUAAUAGCAAUGUAUUUUUGAGACUUGUCAAAUGUGUAGAAAGAAAAUGUAUGACAAUAGCUUGAAAGACAGAAUGGGAGCAGUGGGAAGUCCAUAGCGUCAAGGAUUUUAUGUUAUCCAUGAAAUGGUAUAAUACUAUUUGAAUAUAAAUUAUGAGUUAAAAUGCAUAUUGUAAAGUAUAGAGCAAUCACUAAAAUAAAAUAGUAAAUGAAAAUAUAUCUCACCAACAGUGGAGACAAAAUGGAAUAUUAAGCAGUACCAAUUAACUCAAAAGAAGCAGGAAAAGAAGAAAAAAGUAACAAGAAAAGAUGAGAUAAAGCAAAACCCAAUAGUAAGUGGUAGAUUUAAACUCAACCAUCCUGAUAAUUAUAUUAAAUGUAAAUGAUCUAAAGAGUCCAAUUACAAGUCAGAGAUUGACAGACUAGAUAAAUAGUAAGAUUCUAUCACAUACUGUAUGAGCAAACCACUUCAAAUAUAUGGACAAGAUAGUUAAAACUAAAAGGAUGGAAAAGAUAUACUAUUGCAAACAUAAAUUAUAACAAAGUUGGAGUGACUAUAUUAAUACCAAGUAAAGUAUGCAAUAUAAAAAGGAAUAUUACUGGGAAUAAGGAGGAAACUUUCAUAAUGAUAAAGUAUUUAAUUUACUGGGGAGAUAUGACAAGCCUAAAUGUAACAGAGCUUCAAAAUACAUGAAGCAAAACCUGACAGAAUGAGUCAGAGGUCAUUUAAAUUCUCUGAAGUGAAUCAUUUGUGUGGAACUGGGAAAAUCAUUUAAUCUGCGAGUGAAAGUUUGCUCUCUUGUAAAUAAAAAUAAUCUACAUAUGUCAUGGGUAUUUUGUGAAAAUUAGAUAAAAGUAUAUGUGAAAUUAAAAAAUACAAACCUAACCUGAUGGAACUGAAAGGACAUUUAAAAAUCCUCAGUUAUAGUUGGAGUAUUCAACACUUCUUAUUUACAAUCAAUAAAGAAAGAAGGCAAAAUCAGCAAGGAUAUUGAAAAUUUAAAUGACACCAUCAAUCAACUGUACCUAAUUGGCAUUCAUAGAAUACUCUACCCAGCAACAGCAGAAUAUACAUUUUUAAAAAGUUCACCUGGAACAUUAACCAAGGGAGACCAUAUGUUAGUCAUAAAACAAGUUCCAACAAAUUUAAUUCAUGGGGUUUGUCCUCUGACCAUAGUGAAAUUAAAUUAGAAAUCAAUAACAGCUAUUUGGGAACUCUCUAAAUAUUUAGGAAUCAAAUAGCACACUUCUGAACAACACAUGGGCCAAAGAAGAAAUCAUAAGUGAAUUAAAAAAAAUAUUUUGAACUGAAUGAAAAUGAAAACACAUAUCAAAAUUUAUGAGAUGCAGUUAAAAUAGUAUCUCAAAGGAAAUGUAUGGUGCAAAGUGUUAAUAUUAGAAAAGAAUAAAGGUCUAAAAUCAAUAAUCUGAGAUUCUACCUUAAAAUGCAGGAAAACAAGAACAAAUUAAACCUAAAAUAAGUAAAAGAGAGAAAAUAAAAAAAAAAAAAGAGAAAUGAAUGACAUCUAAAACAAAAUAAUAGAGAAAAUCAUUGAAACCAAAAGCUAGUUGGAAAUUUUCAACAAAAUUUAUAAACCUCUAGAAAGAUUCAUUAAGAAAAAAGAAGAUGUAAAUACUGAAUAUCAGUGACACAUUACAGAUGCUACAGAUAUCAUAAGGAUAAUAAAUGAAUAUUAUGAAUAAUUUUAUGUCAAUAAAUGCAACAACUUAGAUGAAUGGGCAAAGAUACAAUUUGCCAAAUAUGACUGAAGAAGUAGAAAACCUGAAUAAGCCCUAUAUCUCCUAAAGAAAUUAAGUAUGUAAAUUAAAAAAUUUUCCUAGAAGAAAACUUUAGUCCCAGAAGGUUUCUCUUAUGAAUUCUAUUAAAUAUUUAAGAAACAUACCAAUGUCUCACAAGCUCUUUAAGAAAAUAGGAGGAUGGAUGGGGCACCUGGGUGGUUCAGUCGGUUAAGCAUCUGACUCUUGAUUUCAGCUCAGGUCAUGAUCUCAGUUUUGAUGCUCUCAUGGUUUGUCUGCUUACAGUGCACUGACAGUAUGGGGCCUGCUUGGGAUUCACUCUCUCCCUCUCUCUGCUCCUCCCCCCUCUGGAAAUAAAUUAAAAAACACUUAAAAAUCUUUAAAAAGGAAACUAGGAGGUUGGAAUAUUUCCCAUUUCAUGAGCAUCACUUUAAUAUGAAAAUCUGGCAGUGAUGUUACAAGAAAGAGAAAAAAGAAAAACAACAACAUGAGAUCAAUAUGACCCAUGAACACAGACACAGAAAUCCUUAGCAAAAUACUAGCAAACUGAGUCCAGCAAUUCUAAAAGAAACAACACAUCAUGGUGGGGGGUUAUUUCAGCAAUGUCAGAAAACCUAGAGGAAGACCUUUGAAGGUGGGGGUGGGUGUAUGUCAACGGGAAGUAAGCAGUAAAAAGGGAGCACCUUCAGCUUCAGUAGUCUUGUUUCCAUUCUUCUAGAAGCUGACAUUUCUGGGGAUUUACCACAUUCUAGGAAGCAUGUUCAGAGCUAUAUGUGUAGUCUCUUGUUUAGUCUUUACAAGAACCCUGUGAGGUAGAUACUCUUGUAGGCAUUUUAUAAACGAGUAAACUGAAGCAGAGAGAAACUUAAAAAAAAAAAAAAACUGACCAUAGUCCCAUAGCUAUUAGGAUUUGGACCUAGAUUGUCUGUCCCCAGAUACUGCACUGCUUGCUAAUGUACGACUCUUCAAAGAACUGCUCAUUUUCUGUGCUUUUGCCUAGCAAGGCUUAUUUCGUCACUCCUAAACAUUUAUUCACUUUUCAGUCCAUAAUUAAGAACUCCCAUCUGAGUCAAAAUAUUAAGUAGUUCCAAAUGCAGGAUACUUCUAAAAUAAAAGUAUGUAUAUUAAAUUAUAAAACUUAACGAUACUAGUGUGGGAGAUGUACUCCAUUAUCCUCUCCUACAUUUUUAUGUGGCUACAAAUGUUGUGGUCUCCAAGAAGUAGAAAAAAAAAAAACCAAAAAACUUUCCCGUUCCUAUGUGUAGAACAAAAUGCUCCCCCUGCCCCAACGUGUAGACCUAAUUUCAACACUGGCACUCAGACUUGAUGGCAUAUGAACUUGGGUAAGGUCUUUAAAGCCCUAUGAGCUUUAGCUCCCAGAUUUGUAACAAAAUGGAAUGGUGUUGCCUCCCAUGCAGAAUAGAGUGAGGAUGAAGAAGGUAUCCAGGUGUACCUCAUUUUCUUUUCUUCCCUAGACUUUUCUCCUUCAUGAUGCUUCUUUAGAGUUUCAGAGAUUAGAAAAGCCUUUUCCAAACUUUUUUGAUCCGUGUCCACAGUAACCACUUCAUAAACCACUAGGACAAUUAUAUACAUAAGUAUAUGUAAUGAAAGUGAUCCCCUAAUUUAUUGUAAAAAUUGGGAAAAUUAUUACUUUUGAAGAUAAUAACUGCUGAUCCAACAGGAAUAAACUGGGGGUGUUCUUGGAAAACGGAGCCACAUGUCAGGAAAACACUUAACCUUAUUUAUUUUGAUGCAUCCUGUUAAUUUAUCAUGUAUUCUAGUUAAUUAUAAAAAUGCUUUUCAGUAUCUAUUAAAUUGGUUUUGUAACCCACUAAUGAAUCCCUACCCAAGUAUUUUGAUUCCUUCUAAAGUCUUGUCUGACCGUUCCACCAUUCUUGGGAUCCAGAAGUGCUGAAGAUUAGCAUACACAAAUAUGGAGAAGUUCUGGAAAACUGAAGGGGUUCUAAUUCCCAUAGGUACACAUAUUCUGUUUCUCUUCAUUCAUUCAUUACCUAUUUUUUCAUCCACUCAUUCGUCAAAUACUUGGAGCACUUUCUGUAUUAACAAGUGCUGGUAAUGAUCAGAUCCUGGAUGCUGGAACCUGGUGGUCCCUACCCUUGAGGAAUUCUUGCCUUCUGGCGGGGCAAACGCAUCUGAAGAUACAUCAUUUCAGGACAGGGAGAUGAGUGGUGCUGUACAGAGAUGAUCAAAAGGUCUUAGGAACCUGGAAGAAGGAUCCACCAACUUCGGCAGGGAGGAAGGAGGGUUCCGGGGAGAAGAGUGACAUUCAAAUGUAUGAAGUUCUCAAGGAAGGCAUGGAGGCAUCAGGGCGUCGGCUGAGCUACCGCCAACCAGCCUCUAGGCUGCUCCACGUGGCUCUUUCGCAGGGCAGGAGAGGUUCUGGGGCUGACUUGCAGCCCCAUCUACCCCUGCGGUAUUUCUCAGAUUUAUUUUAAACGUCAUGAGAGUACUCAACCCCGCUCUAUUUUGGUCCCCCCAAACUAGCUGACCCAUCCAACUUACCCUGCUUGAAUUUUCUCCUAGCAUUUUACACCUUCUAAAUACACUAUAUAAUUUACUUAUCCGGUAUGUUUACUACCUGUUUCGUCCUCCUGGAACUUAAGCUGAAGGAGAGGAUUAGUCAGUUUCGUUUGCUUCGGUGUUCCGCCCGCCCCUUGCCUAGUCCGUUCACAACAGGUUCCUGAUAAAUAAUGGGCAUGACCUGAAAGAGCAAAUUUCUGUAUCCAAGACAUAAUUUCCAUGGGCUCAUUUCUGAAGGAAAGUGUAGAGGAAAAUCAAGACCUACAAGGAACCAUUUCUAAUAACAGCCUUUUCGUCCCUCGCUUCAACAGUGUUUAUUGAUCACCUGCUUCCCAUCAGCCCUGCUUUGAGCACUUGGAUUUCAGAGAGGAGGACAGAUCUUCUUUUCUGUCUUCUUGGCGUUCACCUGCCGGAAUGGAAGCAGACGUUAAUGGGCUAUGUAAUUGCAAAUCUGAGAGAUCUACAAAGGAAAAAAAAAAAGUACAGGAUGCUCUAAAAGCCUGAAACGGUAAUACAUGACUUGGGCUGGGAGGUCAGGGAAGUGAUUUUUAAGCUGAGUAGAAAUGAACUCAGUAAAAGAGAGGGGCGGGAGAGAGAGCAUUCUAGCAUAAUUACAAAGGUCGAGGAGUGGGAGGGAGCCUGUGUGUGGGUGUGGCCUAGACAGUGAGGAGGAGGGGCUUAGUCUAACAGCGGAGGUGGGCGGAGCGAGGUGGGCGGGGCACACCAGGUAGCUCCCCGGUGGGUGCAUCAGGCGUUAAGGGACUGGCACUUUGGUCGGGAGCAAAGGGGAGCCCUGAGAGGGGUGUCACCUGGGGGAUGUUGAAAUGAAAAAAUAGUCAGGCUUAAGUGCAGACAGUGGAUUAGGGAGUAUCGCAGAGCAGCUAUGGGGGAGUCCUAGAGGAGGGUGCUGUGGAGCUCAACGCGAGGAGUGAUGAAAAGCUGUGUGUAAGUUAGAGAAAUAAUUAAGACAUAAAAUGGAAGUUAAUGGCUUUUCUGUACUUUCAGAUAGAUCGGUGACGGCUUGUAUGUAUAAGGCUUUUGUAUGUUUCAAUGAACGAAAGUAAAAAUAAAGAAGCCUCUUGAAUUGUUUGUCAGCAGUCUCUGUGAUAUGUAUAUAGUUGUUAGUAAGAAGUGAGCCCAGUCCACAGCGAUCUAGUAGCCCCUGGGUGGCUGGUGGGUUUUCUGGGGAUGCAAAUGAGGGAAUGCUAUGGGGAAGGCCUGGUACAGACCAGGGGGAGAUAAUAAAAGGGGCCUGCGUACAUGCAGAUAACCGGUCAUGCAACAGGACCCUCCCUCCUUUCCCGUCCUUCCUUCCAACCGUGCUUCUUCCUUUCCACAUCCUUCUCUCAGCCUACAGUUUAUGAUUAGCGGUUCUUAAUGUUCCUUGGAGCUUAUCCCGAGAAUAAUGUGCAUCUUAUACACACAGAAAAUGUGGCAUUAUAUAUCAGGAGCCCUGGGGCCCCAGACUGAGAAUCUCUGACCUGUAGGGUUUGUAAAAUCGCAAUUCAUAGACAAAAAUAAAUAUAUCUAGCCAAUAAGUAUAUGAAAGGUGGUCAAGCUCACUAACCAUCACUUGAACCAACCGGACAUAACGUCUUUUAUUGAUCAGAUCGGUAAUGACUCAAAAACUUGAUACAACCCAGCUCGGCCAUGGUGGGAGGAAGUGAGUCCUCUUGUACACACAGGAUAAGCACAAGAUGGAACAGCUUUUUAGAGAGCAACUAGGCAGUAGCUUUCAUAAUUUUAAAUGCCUAGAUCCUUCAACCUAGUGAUUCCAAUCUUAAGAAACUAUCCUUUAGGGAAACAAACACAUGUGCAAAUAGUCAAAGGUGUUCAUCGCAGCAAUGACUAGAAAAUUGGGAACUGCCUAAAUGACCACCAAGAGGGAAAUGGUUAUAUACCAUUUGGAACAUACCCAUGCCAUACAGCACAAUACUAUGCAGUCCAUAAGAAUGAGCUUGGUCUGUACUGACAAUAUACUAAGUGAAAAAAGGCAAAUUGCAGACCAAUAUGUGUAGCACAAUAUAGUCUCUAUCAGAGAACUCACAAUAUAUCAGUGUUAUAUAUAAAUGCUUUUGUAUACAUUUAGAAAAUAAAUACAUGGAUGUACAAGAAACUCAAAAUCGUGAUUAAUUCUGGGGAGUAGGAUUUGGUUGAGUGGAUGAGGGAGGGAAGUCUCUGAAUUUUCCUCCUUUAUUUAUGCACUUCUAUACUGGUUGAAUUUGUUUUAACAAGCCUAUACUACUUUAUCUUCAUUCUUAAAAAUAAUAAUAAUAAUAAUAAUAAUAAUAAUAAUAAUAAUAAAGGUAGCAUAAGAAUUCUUCCCCUUCAGAAUUUUUUCAAUUGUACAGAUCUAACUUUAAAAUUUGAGCUGGGAAAAGAAGCAAACAGUCAAGAUGUACCCUAGUGUCCUCCUCUGAUGAAAAUAUUUCAGGGAUGUCCCAUGUGUCGGGGGUCAAGUCUAAACACCUUCCUGUAACACUUCAGGUUCUCCUAAAUUUAGCCACUUGUCUACCCCUAUAGUGUCUUCAGCAAUCCUCCAACUCACAGCUUCCAGCCUCACUGGAACAUGCUAGGAUAUGGAUUCCCCAGGAUUAUUGCUGCACGUUAGCUCUAUCAGGUUGCUCACGCGCCUGUGAAGACAUCCCCGGCUGCCUAACACUCAUUCUGUUCUCUGAGACUCAGUUCAAGCAUCUUCUCCAAAACAUCCAGCCCUUUAGCCAGCUGCGCCCCAGUCUGGUAGGGUGUUGCUCUGAAAUGUUCCAUAUCCCCAGGCAUACACCCUGCAUUAUUUUACUUGUUGUACCCUACUACCUCUUUAGUUUAGUAUCCCGUUUCCCCUCUAGGUGAGAACCUGCUGAACGCAGAAGUGGUGUUGUGUGUCGCUUAGGUGCCCAAUGUCUAUCCCAGUUGCCUGGCUGUUGGAAACUCUUACCAAGUGACUAUUGGGUGGUACAGUGCUCACAUCCUCUUUCUGGAACCCACUUAUUGUCAGCCUCAAAGAAAUACGGGAGACCAAAUUUUAAAAUUCCUCACGAGUUACUUUUUUUUUACAUAGAGCAUAAAUUAAAAUUUAGAACCACAAAACCACAGCACUUUAGACCUGGAAAGGACUUAAGAGUUAUCUAGAGAAGUUGUUUUCAAUCAAGAGUCUGUGAGCUAGUGCAAGUCUGCAUGCUCUGAGGCAAAAUGAGAAAAAUAUGAGCAAUGGAGCAGAGUUUUUAAAAAAUUAGGUUAGAUGCAUUUGGUUUAAAUGAUGCUCUCUUAUUCAGCUAUUAUGUCUCCCUUCCAUUUUAAGGUUAUUAAUGAAUUAUGUGUGUAUAGGGAUUGUUUUUUAGUUUAGUUGGUCUAUUAUAUAAAAAAAAUCUGCAAACCCCAGAUCUUGUGUCUUUCUCCUCAGAACUGAGACCCAGAGAGAUGAUCACUUUGCCCAGAGCCGACAAAGAAAUACACGUUUCACUUUAGUAUCCUUCUGCUGGUGUGUGUAAUGCAAUUGUGUAUGUAUACAAGUAUUAUAUAUGUUUGGUGUAAUUGGUUUUUUAUUCAGUAUUUCAAAUCCAGAAAUGCAGCAGUUAACAUAUUUGUUGUAUUACAAUGAGAAACAGGCUUCUUUUCGACAAGUGUCUAUAGCCAUAUAGUAUUUCUGCCUGUUAGUAUUUGGUGAGGUUUGAAGAAACGUCAGUCUUGAAAUUAUAUAUAUGCAAUAUUAUUAUUGACUUUGGUAUGGAAACAAAGACUGUUUACUAUCAAUUUUUGGAUGCUUUCUAAGUUUGAAUGUGUUGCAAGUACCUUAAAAAAAGAAUUUAAAGUGACUUUGAAUUUGUCCAUUGCUUCAACUCUGAUUUUAAACAUCUGAAUGCUGUCCGACUAAGAAAUUCCACUUCUAAGAGUUUAUCAUGAGAAAAUAAUGAGAGAUGUGUUCGUUAAAGCAUUUGUGGUAAAGAUUAGAAAAAACACAAAUGCCCAAUAAUAUGGAAUUGCUUAAAUACAUUUUCACAUAGUUAUGCAUGGCUGUAUGUUGAUCUUCUUUUGGAUACUUGUUUGUAUCUUCUCAUUUUUAUUUACCACCCCUUAUACUUAGAUAAGUAAAAAGUUUUAAAAUCCGUCUAGCUUAAUAUUGUCCAAAAUAAUGUUUCUUACCUGCUUUUCUUACGCUUUUUUCCAAUUUGACAUUAUUGAUUAAUACAAUUUGAUAGCCAAUCAAAGUUCAGUAUGUAUAGACUCCAAACUUUAUUUUUUUCAAGUUUAGCUUUUACAUCUUCUGUUAUUACGUAGCUUAGCUUAGUUUCAAUACGCAACACGAGCUGCUGUCGAUCAGCACACCGUCUGAUGGAAAAGCGGUCAUUCUCAUUUUGAACACUAUGCUCUCUGGCAAGUUCAUGUUUUAGACUUGUACAUUCUAAUUAACUAUCAAUAAGGACCAAGCACAACCAUAAACACAAAGGUCUAAAGACAUUUGAAGAUGUAAUCGGUCUCAGUAUGUAUUUUCCCUCUAGACCUGGCUGCCUCUUAGCUCAGAGUAGGAAAUUUGGCCAUGGGAUUUACCAGGGUUGCAGGCUAUUGGCCAAAAAACCAGAAGGAAUAGCAUCCUUAGCAUUUCCAGACCCCCAAAAAGCCUCUUUGAAAGAGGAGGACAAGAGAUGCUUUAUUACAUCAUAGUUAUGUAUGCCUGUGUGUGCACCUGCGUGUGUACCACUGUGUGAACCAGUGUGUGUGUGUUUGUGUGUGUGGCUGAGAGAUGGGAGGGGGAGGCGGUGAGAGGGAGUGGGAAAGGGGAGAGGGAAAGGGAGAGAGAAAAGGUGAGUGAGACUGUGUUAAAGGUUCCUGAACUCUCUGGCACUACGUUGAUUUUUUUUUUUUUUUCAGGUAAGCUUCACACCCAGUGCAGAGCUCAAACUCAGAACCCCGAGAUCAAGACCUGAGCUGAGAUCAAGAGUCAGAUGGUUAAACGUCUGAGCCACCCAGCGCCCCUCUGGCACUAGAUUAAUUCUAAUUUGCUGUUAUAGCUUCUGAUGGUUCUUCCCAGUAGUUGUUCUACUUUUAAUUGGUUAAUUAAUGAGUUGUUCAAGGUCUGACUCUUUCUAGAACAUAAGGCACACGAAGGCUGGAACCAUGUGCCAGCCCCCAGUACCUAGCCCAGUGCUAUUUGCAUAUGUAGUGAGGAUUUAAUAAAUGGUUGGUAGAAUAAAUGCCUG
rnacentral:lncRNA from 1 species